UACGUAGGGAGCAAGCGUUGUCCGGAUUUAUUGGGCGUAAAGAGCUCGUAGGCGGCUUAGCAAGUCGGGUGUGAAACCUCCAGGCUCAACCUGGAGACGCCACUCGAUACUGCUAUGGCUUGAGUUCGGUAGGGGACCAUGGAAUUCCUGGUGUAGCGGUGAAAUGCGCAGAUAUCAGGAGGAACACCGGUGGCGAAGGCGGUUCUCUGGGCAUUACCUGACGCUGAGGAGCGAAAGUGUGGGGAGCGAACAGG
rnacentral:rRNA from 1 species